rnacentral:rRNA from 1 species
AACGAACGCUGGCGGCAUGCCUAACACAUGCAAGUCGAACGAGACCUUCGGGUCUAGUGGCGCACGGGUGCGUAACGCGUGGGAAUCUGCCCUUCGGUUCGGAAUAACUCAGGGAAACUUGAGCUAAUACCGGAUAAUGACGUAAGUCCAAAGAUUUAUCGCCGAAGGAUGAGCCCGCGUAGGAUUAGCUUGUUGGUGGGGUAAUGGCCCACCAAGGCGACGAUCCUUAGCUGGUCUGAGAGGAUGAUCAGCCACACUGGGACUGAGACACGGCCCAGACUCCUACGGGAGGCAGCAGUGGGGAAUUUUGGACAAUGGGCGCAAGCCUGAUCCAGCCAUGCCGCGU